rnacentral:rRNA from 1 species
GAUGAACGCUGGCGGCGUGCUUAACACAUGCAAGUCGAACGAGAAAUGGAGACGGAAACCUUCGGGCGGAAGGCUUCAUUUCGAGUGGCGGACGGGUGAGUAACGCGUGGGUAACCUGCCUCAUACAGGGGGAUAACAGUUGGAAACGACUGUUAAUACCGCAUAAGACCACAGCACCGCAUGGUGCGGGGGUAAAAACUCCGGUGGUAUGAGAUGGACCCGCGUUCGAUUAGCCAGUUGGCGGGGUAACGGCCCACCAAAGCGACGAUCGAUAGCCGAUCUGAGAGGAUGACCGGCCACAUUGGGACUGAGACACGGCCGCAACUCCUACGGGAGGCAGCAGUGGGGAAUAUUGCACAAUGGGGGAAACCCUGAUGCAGCGACGCCGCGUGAGUGAAGAAGUACUUCGGUAUGUAAAGCUCUAUCAGCAGGGAAGAAAAUGACGGUACCUGAGUAAGAAGCCCCGGCUAACUACGUG